rnacentral:rRNA from 1 species
UGAUUGACGGUGCUUGCACCUGAUUGAUUCCGGUCAAAAACGAGUGGCGGACGGGUGAGUAACACGUAGGUAACCUGCCCAGAAGCGGGGGACAACAUUUGGAAACAGAUGCUAAUACCGCAUAACAACGUUGUUCGCAUGAACAACGCUUAAAAGAUGGCUUCUCGCUAUCACUUCUGGAUGGACCUGCGGUGCAUUAGCUUGUUGGUGGGGUAACGGCCUACCAAGGCGAUGAUGCAUAGCCGAGUUGAGAGACUGAUCGGCCACAAUGGGACUGAGACACGGCCCAUACUCCUACGGGAGGCAGCAGUAGGGAAUCUUCCACAAUGGGCGCAAGCCUGAUGGAGCAACACCGCGUGAGUGAAGAAGGGUUUCGGCUCGUAAAGCUCUGUUGUUAAAGAAGAACACGUAUGAGAGUAACUGUUCAUACGUUGACGGUAUUUAACCAGAAAGUCACGGCUAACUACGUGCCAGCAGCCGCGGUAAUACGUAGGUGGCAAGCGUUAUCCGGAUUUAUUGGGCGUAAAGAGAGUGCAGGCGGUUUUCUAAGUCUGAUGUGAAAGCCUUCGGCUUAACCGGAGAAGUGCAUCGGAAACUGGAUAACUUGAGUGCAGAAGAGGGUAGUGGAACUCCAUGUGUAGCGGUGGAAUGCGUAGAUAUAUGGAAGAACACCAGUGGCGAAGGCGGCUACCUGGUCUGCAACUGACGCUGAGACUCGAAAGCAUGGGUAGCGAACAGGAUUAGAUACCCUGGUAGUCCAUGCCGUAAACGAUGAGUGCUAGGUGUUGG